UGCCAUGCUGCUCAGGAGACCAGGCCCCAUGUGUCCACGUGGGAGUUGAGGGUGAGUCUUGGGCUUCCGUCCAGGAGUACUAGGGGAAGAGCAGGACUGGGGAGGCUGCCUGAGGCUGGUUUCCAAAACACUGACUUUGAGUUGCCUUGGAAUCACCCAAGUGGAUUUGCAGAUUUGGAUCUCAGGAAAAUAUUCUAGACUGCAAACUUUUAAAAAGAUUUGGCCUCAGGCAGCUGCAUGGGGAGGAGUGUCAGCACUGCAGGCGUGGACGGAGGCCUGAGAGCUGCCAGGAGAGCUGGCAGGGAAGAGGAGGCGGCCCCCUGGGAUGGAGACAGCUCUGGGGAGUGUGGUGGCCAUGAUGUUCCAUCUGUCAGCUACAUGGUUUAGCUCAGAAGGGGAAAAGUGUAACCAGGUAGAGGCUGAAGGAGGGCCAGUAGGCAGGCAAAAUGGUCUCAUCUUACAGAGAAAAUAGUGACUUAUAGAGAUAAUUAUUUAGAAGUCUGAGCCCUCCUACUCUUGUUCUAAUAACUAACAAGUUAUUGUCAAGAAUUCUUUUAAAACGAAAAUAUUUAAUUCAUGGUAUUCAGGUUUCCUGUGCACGGAGCCUCUGCGCUGCGUUACUGUAUUUAUUCAUCGGCCUUUGUCCUUGGGCGUUUCAUCCUUCAAGGGAAGCCCUAAGUGAUCCAUGGUGUGGUGUGUUCCUCACAGGUUCAUCCCGAGUUACUCCCUGAGUCUUCAGGCGACGAUGGCCAAGGGCUUGUGACUUCUGCAAGCGACGUGACUGGAAACCACGCAGCACUUCACAGGGAUCCUAGUGUGUUCUCUGCUGGUGAUUCCCCAGGGGAGGCUCCUUCUGCGCUGUUGCCAGGGCCACCCCCUGGUCAGCCUGAAGCCACUCAGCUGACAGGGCCAAAACGGGCUGGCCAGGCAGCUCUGUCAGAACGAAGCCCUGUGGCUGAUCGGAAGCAGCCUGUUCCUCCAGGACGUGCUGCGCGUUCAAGCCAGUCUCCAAAAAAGCCGUUCAAUAGUAUUAUUGAGCACCUGUCAGUGGUAUUCCCAUGUUACAACAGGUAUGAACAGAAAAUGUCUGUGACUGUGUUUAAUACUUUAUCGAACUGAGGUUUCCUGAUUAGAUAAAAUCAUGGCUAGUUAGGUGUUAACAUGAAAAGGGUUGCAUAAUUGUUUUGCUCAGAAAGACAGUUGCUACAUUUCUUUCUUUUUGUAAAUAUAGAGAUAAGUAUUUUCAAAUAAAUUGGUGGGUUUUUUCUUUCUUUUUUUUUUUUUUUUUGAGACAGAGUCUCACUCUGUUGCCUAGGCUGGAGUGCUGUGGCACAGUCUCGGCUCCCUGCAACCUCUCCCUCCCGAGUUCAAGCGAUUCUCCUGCCUCAGCCUCCUGAGAAGCUGGGAUUAUAGGCAUGCAUGACUAAGCCUGGCUAAUUUUUGUAUUUUUAGUACAGGUGGGGUUUCACCAUGUUGGCCAGGCUGGUCUCGAACUUCUGACCUCAAGUGAUUCACCCGCCUUGGCCUCCCAAAGUGCUGGGGUUACAGGCAUGAGACGCCACACCCAGCCUCAAAUAAAUUUUUUAAUGUGCAUAUGUAAAUUGAAAACAUUGAGCACUGGGUAAUAUUCAUCAGAACCCAUGACAAUUUGCUAAGAUUUUGAUGAGACCAAUAGCACUGUCUAAAACUAGUGUUAUAGUAUCAAUAAAUGAACGCAAAACAAUAAUUUUGCAUCAUUUGGGGGGACAAAAUUAUAUAUAGCAAAGAAGGCAGCAGCAACUUAAACCUUGUUAUAUAAGACCUCUGAUUUGUUAGAGUGUGAGGUUGAAGACUGGAUGGAAUUCCAUAGUGAAUGGGGCAUGUGGACAUGUUAACAAGGGGUCCUUGUGAAUGUGGGAAAAAGCUGCCCUUACCUGAGUGAGCAAGAGCUGUAAAUAGAGUUGGGAUGAUGGCAGGCUCUUCAGUAGCGUUUCUGCCUCCACCUCUGGUUUCCGCUGUUCAGGUUGUUACGAGGGGGACAGAGUUGCCUCUUGUCUCAGCUGUG
rnacentral:lncRNA from 10 species